rnacentral:lncRNA from 1 species
CUAAUUCCAAGUCCUCAGGACUUAAUUCUAUGUUUUUAUUCUUUUCCUUCUGGUCUGGGGCUUUUAUAAAUUGCUGGAUGGUAGAGGAGUGGUUUUUUCACAUGGUGGUAGAAUUCGGUUGCAGUUACAGCCUGUGGCCACUAGAUGGGUGUCUAGAGCCACGUGUUAUGAGCUCUCCGCCUUUGGGCAAGAUGGCUGCGCCCAGUGGCUUUGCCUGGGAGGGAGGGGCUGCUAUUCUCACGUGCCGAUCUGGAUUCAGAUCAGUUCUGUUCUCUGGUCUCCCGUGGCCCUGGGUUUAUGGGGUCCCCGCUGACAAAAGCUUUCCCCCCAUCAGCAAGUUUCCAGUGAACCAGCAGCAGGAGUCCUGGAUGAUCCCUGGUCACGCAGCCCCUCCCCGGCUCCUUCCCAACCCGCGCAGCAGCGAUCGCAGACUCUAGGGGAGGGAGUGAUGUUCUCUCCUACUGUUCCAGCGCCUCCAGGGCCGACUCAGUGGCCAUUGAGGAUUUGCUUGUGAACUUCACCCUGGAGGAGUGGGCUUUCCUCGAUUCUCCACAGAAGAAACUUCAUGGAGAAGUCACAUGGUAGUGAGACUCUGUGAAAGUAAAGAGGAAGUUCAAUGUGCAGAAAACUUCAGCUUUAUUCCAAGUCUCAGUUUGAACAGCAAAACUACUGGAGUGAAGCCACAUGAAUGAAGCAGUGCAUGUGCAAAAGUCUUUACACAUCAUUCAUCCCUUUAUAGGCACAUCAGGUGUCACACUGGACACAAGCCAUGUGAGUUUCAAAAAUA